AGGACGACAAGCCUUGAAUGGAUUCC
rnacentral:piRNA from 1 species